rnacentral:tRNA from 1 species
ACUCUUUUAGUAUAAACAGUACUAUUAACUUCCAAUUAAUCAGUUUCGAUAACGCUCGAAAAAGAGUA